GCAUUGGUCGUUCAGUGGUAGAAUUCUCGCCUUCCAUGCAGGAGACCCAGGUUUGAUUCCUGGCCAACACA
rnacentral:tRNA from 1 species